GGGUCUGUAGCUUAACUGGUAAAGCAUCUACCUUGCAAGUAGAAAGAUAUGGGUUCAAGUCCCAUCAGUAUCCACUA
rnacentral:tRNA from 1 species